GGCAGCAGAUCGCUACACGGAGUCACAGAGAAGGACAUAAUGUGGUUUUUUGACGUCAUUUUCAGGCUCAACAAGACGAUUCACUCGCUUGCGAGCUUCACCCAUUUACAGAAGACUCAAGUCUCGCUGGCUCACAGGUGUGGCAGAGCCCCCCCCCCCCGGGAAUACCAUCAGAUGAGCUCCUCCAAAGGCGCCACUUAAUGAUGCCUCUCGUCUCGCUAACCCCACGCUGUGACGGUGGUUCGUGGUUGCCUAGCAACCGGCCCUCUCAGCGGAGGUGACAGCAUUUGAGUGGGCACCCCUCACCUCUCCAUGCUAUCCCAUCGCGCCUCCUCAACGCGCCCGCCCGCCUCCCCCCACCGUCGCCACCCCAGAUGCUCUUCAAGUAAACACACCUCGCCAUGUGCAGUCUGUAACCGUGGCAACAGUCGGGCGAUACAGCUGCUUCCUGUCUCACUUGUGACCUCGCUGACAGCUAGGAAGCACUGGAAAUGCUCCCCUGGGUUGUACUAAUAAAUUGAGGGAUCAAAGUCUUUCGCAUCCUGCAAAUGAAGCACUGGAAAUGUUCUAUCUGGAAAGAAUGGAGGGAUGUCUAUAUUUUCCCAACUUCAUCUGAAAGUGUUACAGUCCACUUGCAUCGUCGGUUUGUAGCCAGUGGGUGCAGUGACAGGCCGGAUCCAGCAGAUGGCGCUACAAUGCAAAAUCAUCAGACGGUGAAUAUUUUCAUUUAAUUUUUAAAAUUUUCGGCGCUGUGAGUUGAUUGUGAAAUUUGUAAGUUCUGCCUAGCAACAAGUGACCAGUUUAUUUAUUUAUUUUAUUUUUUUGUCCUGUCCAGCCACUCCGGCAAAUCACAUUGUUGAUGAUCAUGUCUGCUGUACACAUUUAAUUUAUCAAAUGGAUUUUUAUUCAUGUUUGGCACAACCGGAGCAGGAGCAGGAGGGGAUAGAAAGAAGGAAAAAUAGAAGACAGAGGGGGAAAUUGCGGGAAUAAGAUAGACAACAACAACAACAUCAUCAAAUAGGAUAUGUACAAAUAUGAGACGAAAAAUGAUAGGUAAGAAGCAGUUAAAUAACACAGAAAUGACAAUGAACAUUAUUACACUACAAAUGGAGCAAUACAAAUAACACUGUUGAUAACGAAUAAUAAUAAUAAUAAUAAUUACCUCAGUUGUCAAUAAUACAACUGUUUCAGAUGUAACAAUAGGUAUACUGUAUGUUAUGAAAACUUGAACCACAAAUGAAAGUACAUAAAUGGAGGGGAAGAAAGUGAACGAAAUUAACCUUGUAGUUUGUUAUAGUCAUAGUAGGUUACGCUUUGUCAGUGUGUCGCGUUUUAACCUGUUUCCCCAGACCAAUAAAUUAGAUUGAAUGUAUUUCACUUUUUAGUAUAUAUAUAUAUAUAUAUAUAUAUAUAUAUAUAUAAAAUUAAUUUUGAAUGAUUUUAUUUUUAUUUCGUUUUUGCAGUUUCCGAUAAAAUGUUGGUUAUUCAGCUACAUCAAACGGUCACUAUAAUUUAAACAAUUCACAAAGGUUUUAAUUUCACAAAAUUACAAAACACACCCCCUUUUUUUCCAAAAUAAACACAAUUUGUAUAGUGAACGUCGUAUAUAAAAACAAAAAAACACUCCCAUCUCUAUACUCGAAUGUAUACAUACACAAGAUAAUCAUACUACAGAUACAGUACAAAGGUUUUGAUUUCACAAAAUUACAAAACACCCCCCCCUUUUUUUCCAAAAUAAACACAAUUUGUAUAGUGAACGUCGUAUAUAAAAACAAAAAAACACUCCCAUCUCUAUACUCGAAUGUAUACAUACACAAGAUAAUCAUACUACAGAUACAGUACAAAGGUUUUGAUUUCACAAAAUUACAAAACAGCCCCCUUUUUUUCCCAAAAUAAACACAAUUUGUAUAGUGAAUGUCGUAUACAUUAAAAAAAAACACUCCCAUCUCUAUAUUCGAAUGUAUACAUACACAGAUAAUCAUACUACAGAUACAGUACAAAGGUUUUGAUUUCACAAAAUUACAAAACACCCCCCCUUUUUUUCCAAAAUAAACACAAUUUGUAUAGUGAAUGUCGUAUAUAUAUUUAAAAAAACACUCCCAUCUCUAUAUUCGAAUGUAUACAUACACAAGAUAAUCAUACUACAGAUACAGUACAAAGGUUUUGAUUUCACAAAAUUACAAAACAGCCCCCUUUUUUUCCCAAAAUAAACACAAUUUGUAUCGUGAAUGUCGUACAUAUAUUAAAAAAAAACACUCCCAUCUCUAUAUUCGAAUGUAUACAUACACAAGAUAAUCAUACUACAGAUACAGUACAAAGGUUUUGAUUUCACAAAAUUACAAAACACCCCCCCUUUUUUUCCCAAAAUAAACACAAUUUGUAUCGUGAAUGUCGUAUAUAUAUUAAAAAAAACACACUCCCAUCUCUAUAUUCGAAUGUAUACAUACACAAGAUAAUCAUAAUACACAUACAGUACAAAGGUUUUGAUUUCACAAAAUUACAAAACACCACCCCUUUUUUUCCAAAAUAAACACAAUUUGUAUAGUGAACGUCGUAUAUAAAAACAAAAAAACACUCCCAUCUCUAUACUCGAAUGUAUACAUACACAAGAUAAUCAUACUACAGAUACAGUACAAAGGUUUUGAUUUCACAAAAUUACAAAACACCCCCCCCUUUUUUUCCAAAAUAAACACAAUUUGUAUAGUGAAUGCCGUACAUAUAUUUAAAAAAAACCACUCCCAUCUCUAUAUUCGAAUGUAUACAUACACAAGAUAAUCAUACUACAGAUACAGUACAAAGGUUUUAAUUCCACAAAAUUACAAAACAGCCCCCUUUUUUUCCCAAAAUAAACACAAUUUGUAUAGUGAAUGUCGUAUACAUUAAAAAAAAACACUCCCAUCUCUAUAUUCGAAUGUAUACAUACACAGAUAAUCAUACUACAGAUACAGUACAAAGGUUUUGAUUUCACAAAAUUACAAAACACCCCCCCCUUUUUUUCCAAAAUAAACACAAUUUGUAUAGUGAAUGUCGUAUAUAUAUUAAAAAAAAACACUCCCAUCUCUAUAUUCGAAUGUAUACAUACACAAGAUAAUCAUACUACAGAUACAGUACAAAGGUUUUGAUUUCACAAAAUUACAAAACAGCCCCCUUUUUUUCCCAAAAUAAACACAAUUUGUAUCGUGAAUGUCGUACAUAUAUUAAAAAAAAACACUCCCAUCUCUAUAUUCGAAUGUAUACUUACACAAGAUAAUCAUACUACAGAUACAGUACAAAGGUUUUGAUUUCACAAAAUUACAAAACACCCCCCCUUUUUCCCAAAAUAAACACAAUUUGUAUAGUGAAUGUCGUAUAUAUAUUUUAAAAAAAACACUCCCAUCUCUAUAUUCGAAUGUAUACAUACACAAGAUAAUCAUACUACAGAUACAGUACAAAGGUUUUAAUUUCACAAAAUUACAAAACAUCUUGUCCUUUAACAUGGCCGCCCCCCUUUUUCCCCCCGUAGUAAACAUAAUUUGUAUAGUGAAUAUCGUAUAUACUUUUUUGUUUUAAAUACUCCCAUCUCUAUACUCAGAUGCAGAGAUAUACAGAUAAUCAUACUACAGAUACAAUAAUAAUUAUAAUAAUAUAUUUUAUUUGUAAAAAGCACUUUCCAUUGAGCAAACAACCUCAAAGUGCUACAGUGUAUUAAAAAAAUUAAUAAAAAGAUAAUAAAAACUAGAAUUUGCAUGCAUAUAUCUAAAAAAAAAGUAUUUUUUAAAAAGAAGGGUUUUUAAGCCUUUUUUUAAAAGCAUCCACAGUCUGUGGUGCCCUCAAGUGGUCAGGGAGAGCGUUCCACAGACUUGGAGCUCCCAUUGUUCGUAGCUUUGUCCUCUGAGGUUGGAGGAGGUUAGCCUGUCCGGAGCGGAGGUGUCGUGUGGAGGUUUUGGGGGUGAGUAGUUCUUUGAGGUAGAGGAUAGAGGAUACGGUACAAAGAGAAUAUCUUUGCCUGGAGCUUUUUGUUUUGCACUGUUAACAGUUUCAUUUAGCAAAUUGCUGGCUAAUAUUUGCAUUCAUUUCACAGUAUAAUUUGCAGUAACUUAAUGCGAAAUUACAAUUAAUUGCAGUGAAAUAUAAGAGUAUUGUCAUUUUUACAGUCAUUUGUUGUGAUGUCACAAUUGUUUGAAAUGUAACAAUAGAUAUACUGUAUGUGAUGAAAACUUCAAUUACAAAAGAAAGUACAUAAAUGGAGGGGAAGAAAGUGAUGUGAACGAAAUUAACCUUGUAGAUUGUUAUAGUAAGAGUUGGUUAAGCUUUAUCGGUGUGCUGUGUUUUAACCUGUUUCCCCAGUAAAUUAGAUUGAACUUAUUUCACUUUUUAGUAUUUAUAUAUACAUAUAUACAGUAUAUAUACUGAAUUUUGAAUGGUUAUUUUUUUCAUUUUUGCAGUUUCUGAUAAAAUGUUGGUUAUUUAGCUACAUCAAAGGGUCACUAUAUUUUAAACAGUUCACAAAAUGAUACAGUAAAAAGGUUUCAAUUUCACAAAAUUACAAAGCACCCCCCCUUUUUUUCCGAAAUAAACACAAUUUGUAUAGUGAAUCUCGUAACUUAUUGCGAAAUUACAAUUAAUUGCAGUGAAAUAUACGGGUAUUGUUUUUUUACAGUCAUUUGUUGUGAUGUCACAAUUGUUUGAAAUGUAACAAUAGAUAUAUACUGUAUGUACCGUAUUUUUCGGAGUAUAAGUCGCUCCGGAGUAUAAGUCGCACCGGCCGAAAAUGCAUAAUAAAGAAGGGAAAAAAACAUAUAUAAGUCGCACUGGAGUAUAAGUCGAUAAAAGCCAACAGCAAGAAUAGACAUUUGAAAGGCAAUUUCAAAUAAAUCAAGAAUAGUGAACAACAGGCUGAAUAAGUGUACGUUAUAUGAGGCAUAAAUAACCAACUGGUAUGUUAACGUAACAUAUUAUGGUAAGAGUCAUUCAAAUAACUAUAACAUAUAGAACAUGCUAUACGUUUACCAAACAAUCUGUCACUCCUAAUCGCUAAAUCCCAUGAAAUCUUAUACGUCUAGUCUCUUACGUGAAUGACAUCAAUAAUAUUAUUGGAUAUUUUACGCUAACGUGUUCAUCAUUUCACACAUAAGUCGCUCCUGAGUAUAAGUCGCACCCCCGGCCAAACUAUGAAAAAAACUGUGACUUAUAGUCUGAAAAAUACGGUAC